AGGUUGCCGGUAUCGUGGCAUUCUACAUUGUGACAAAAGGUGAACAUCCCUUUGGCGAUAAACCAGACCGACUUCGUAACUUACUGCAUGGUAACCCAAUUGGCUUAUCUAUGCUGAAAGAUUCUGUCUUGAAAGAUUUAUUAUCCUGGAUGCUAAGCGAUGAUCCCAAAGAUAGACCUUCAGCUAAAGAGGCGUUAAAACACCCUUACCUUCAGCCAGCGAAGCAGCAGUUUGACAUGCUGUGCAAAGUGGGAAACCAGCCUGAGAUCAAGACACAUGAUAUCAAAUCUGAUGUCGUGCGAAAGUUUAAUAUCGAUCCCAAAAAUUGGACAUCUCUGGUGAGACCCGAUGUUCUGACGUAUUUGUCCACCGAUCCUUUGAAGGGGAAAAAAUUUCAUUAUAACUCGUCGUGGACGGGCUGUUUACGACUGAUCCGAAAUAUCAAUGAACACUGGCAUGACCGUCCAAGGCCGCGACCAGAAAUAUUCUACAUAGUAGGCGAUCCCCAAGAGUACUUCCUUAACCUAUUCCCCAAUCUUCCUGUCGAGGCGCACAAAAUUAUCAGGUCAUGUAAUUGGAAAGAACGCGUUGAACUGAAGGAGUACUUCAUAUAAGAUACAAUAUGUGGCUUGUCUGCGCGUAAACUAGUCUGAGAAGUUCUUUCAGACGGGAUAAAAACACUGAUCUGAAAGCUAGGACUGGAUAGUGCAUCUAACAUCUAAUUUACUGUGGUAGCGUUGACUACAGUAGUAUAACAUGUACAGGUUGCAACAAUUUCUGUUUACUGCUGAGAAAGGAGAUUUUGUAGAUAGAUAUUGGCCAGCAGUGAUCUUUCUUCUUAAAAUUGAAGUAUAAUAACUAAUGGUCACA